rnacentral:rRNA from 1 species
AGCGAACGCUGGCGGUAGGCCUAACACAUGCAAGUCGAACGGCAGCACCGUAAGAGCGUGCUCUUACGGGUGGCGGGAGGCGGACGUGAGAGGAAUACAUCGGAAUCUACUUUUUCGUGGGGGUUAACGAAGGUAAACUUAAGAUCAUAUCGCAUACGCCCUACGGGUGAAAGGAGGGGAUCUUCGGAGCUUGCGCGGUUGAAUGAGCCGAUGUCGUAUUGGCUGGUUGGCGGGGUAAAGGCCCAGCAAGUCGACGAUCGGUAGCUGGUCUGAGAGGAUGGUCACCCACACUGGAACUUGGCCACGGUCCUGAGUCCUACGGUAGGCCGCAGUGUGGAAUAGUGGACAAUGGGCGGAAGUCUUGUCCAGUCAGAGCGCGCCGGUGGAGGAGGCCUUCGGUUUGUAAUGCCGUUUUGUUGGUAAAGAAAAGCAGCCGGUUAAUACCCCGCUGUUGUGACGGUACCCGAUGAAUAAGCACCGGCUAACUUCGUG